AAAGAGAAGCUUAGUGCUGAAGAAUAUAAAAAUUUUGUUGAGUUUCUGAAGGCCCUCAAGUCUAAAACAAUGCAGACAAGUCAAGCUUUACAAUCCAUUGUGAGCUUAUUCUCUGGACCAGAGAGGCUUCCUCUUCUUAAAAGGUUCAAGGAUUAUAUUCCUGCAAAGCAUCAUUCUCUCUAUGAGCAUUGUGUUGAAGUAAAUGGCAACAGACAUUGACAAAUGAAAUAUGGAACUCCUAGCUAAUAAUCAGAGAAGCUGCUUAAUUUGGCAGGGAAAGCCAGCAGAUCGUGAGUACACUAGUCAUGGACCUCCGUAUCUCACUCAAGAUGUGCAAUUAGGAAGUACAUGUACAUUUUGAUUUGCUUUGUCUUGCUGGUCUUCCCUGGUUUUUGUUGAUACCUGGAGUUUUUAACCAGAUACAACUGCUAUUCAUCCAUGAGGCCCAAAAGAAUACUUAACUCGAAGGUAGUAUGAAAUCUGGCAAUGCUGAAGGGAUACAAGCAAGUCUUCAUGUGUUAUGGUCUGAGGCAGCUCCUAUUCUUCAUAUGGUUUUGGUCCUUUAGAAAAAACAUGACUUCCAGCUAAGCAACUGCACUGUGGCAAGAUCAGUUACAUCCAUAUAUGGCAAACAACCUUAGCAUGACAGGAAGAUUAAUUUGAAGGCAGCCUCAGCUAUUUCCAUAGUAUUUCAUGGUGCAAGAUCAUUUGGUUGCCAUGAAUCGGAGGAGAGGAAUCAAGUACUUACUGUUGUUAUGGUUUAGUUUUGGGGAUGACAUUGGCUAGCUGUUGUAAAUGCAUUGAUGCCCUCUGAUUAUUACUACUUGCACGAAUACCUAGUUACAAGGUGUUUGCUUGCAUUAUUGCCUGGGAAAAAGGAAAAAGAAAGAAAGCUACAAGGUGUUCAUAACUAUUUCUUUGUAAUGAGAAUAAAUGCCUAGGCCAAACCUUGAUUGAAUUUUGUUGUUAAAGAAAUUGCGACUUAAUUUUAUCUUUUCAUUAUCAAUCAAUCGGUCAGAUUCAGAUUUGAUCUUCA